AUUGAACGCUGGCGGCAUGCCUUACACAUGCAAGUCGAACGGUAACAGGUUAAGCUGACGAGUGGCGAACGGGUGAGCAAUGUAUCGGAACGUGCCCAGUCGUGGGGGAUAACUGCUCGAAAGAGCAGCUAAUACCGCAUACGACCUGAGGGUGAAAGCGGGGGAUCGCAAGACCUCGCGCGAAUGGAGCGGCCGAUAUCAGAUUAGGUAGUUGGUGAGGUAAAGGCUCACCAAGCCGACGAUCUGUAGCUGGUCUGAGAGGACGACCAGCCACACUGGGACUGAGGCACGGCCCAGACUCCUACGGGAGGCAGCAGUGGGGAAUUUUGGACAAUGGGCGCAAGCCUGAUCCAGCCAUGCCGCGUGCGGGAAGAAGGCCUUCGGGUUGUAAACCGCUUUUGUCAGGGAAGAAAAGGUUCUGGCUAAUACCUGGGACUCAUGACGGUACCUGAAGAAUAAGCACCGGCUAACUACGUGCCAGCAGCCGCAGUAA
rnacentral:rRNA from 1 species